rnacentral:rRNA from 1 species
AAUGAACGCUGGCGGCGUGCCUAACACAUGCAAGUCGAGCGAUUCUCUUCGGAGAAGAGCGGCGGACGGGUGAGUAACGCGUGGGUAACCUGCCCUGUACACACGGAUAACAUACCGAAAGGUAUGCUAAUACGGGAUAACAUAAGAAAUUCGCAUGUUUUUCUUAUCAAAGCUCCGGCGGUACAGGAUGGACCCGCGUCUGAUUAGCUAGUUGGUGAGGUAACGGCUCACCAAGGCAACGACCAGUAGCCGACCUGAGAGGGUGAUCGGCCACAUUGGAACUGAGACACGGUCCAAACUCCUACGGGAGGCAGCAGUGGGGAAUAUUGCACAAUGGGCGAAAGCCUGAUGCAGCAACGCCGCGUGAGCGAUGAAGGCCUUCGGGUCGUAAAGCUCUGUCCUCAAGGAAGAUAAUGACGGUACUUGAGGAGGAAGCCCCGGCUAACUACGUGCCAGCAGCCGCCGUAAGAC